UAGUCCACGCCGUAAACGAUGAUUACUCGCUGUAGGCGAUACACAGUCUGUGGCUAAGCGAAAGUUUUAAGUAAUCCACCUGGGGAGUACGAUCGCAAGAUUGAAACUCAAAGGAAUUGACGGGGGCCCGCACAAGCGGAGGAACAUGUGGUUUAAUUCGAUGAUACGCGAGGAACCUUACCUGGACUUAAAUGUGCGUUGCAUAGAUCAGAGAUGGUCUUUUCUUCGGACUACGUACAAGGUGCUGCAUGGUUGUCGUCAGCUCGUGCCGUGAGGUGUCGGGUUAAGUCCCAUAACGAGCGCAACCCUUAUCCUUAGUUGCCUGCGGGUAAUGCCGGGGACUCUAGGGAAACUGCCUACGCAAGUAGUGAGGAAGGCGGGGACGACGUCAAAUCAUCAUGGCCCUUACGCCUAGGGCUACACACAUGCUACAAUGGUCAGUACAAUGGGUAGCGACAUAGUGAUAUGAAGCCAAUCUCAAAAAGCUGAUCUCAGUUCGGAUUG
rnacentral:rRNA from 1 species